CCUACGGGUGGCAGCAGUGGGGAAUUUUCCGCAAUGGGCGAAAGCCUGACGGAGCAAUACCGCGUGAGGGAGGAAGGCUCUUGGGUCGUAAACCUCUUUUCUCAGGGAAGAACAAAAUGACGGUACCUGAGGAAUAAGCAUCGGCUAACUCUGUGCCAGCAGCCGCGGUAAUACAGAGGAUGCAAGCGUUAUCCGGAAUGAUUGGGCGUAAAGCGUCCGUAGGUGGUUUGUCAAGUCUGUGGUUAAAGCGCGAAGCUCAACUUCGUAAGGGCCAUGGAAACUGAGAGACUAGAGUCAAGUAGGGGUAGAGGGAAUUCCCAGUGUAGCGGUGAAAUGCGUAGAGAUUGGGAAGAACACCGGUGGCGAAAGCGCUCUACUGGACUUGUACUGACACUGAGGGACGAAAGCUAGGGGAGCGAAAGGGAUUAGAUACCCCAGUAGUC
rnacentral:rRNA from 1 species